AUGGAAAAGAAAGAUGCUAAACCUAGACUUAUUAGAUGGGUUCUCUUGCUACAAGAAUUUGAUUUGCAUAUUAUUGAUAGAAAGGGAGCUGAGAACCCCGUUGCAGACAACUUGUCUAGGUUAGAGAAUGUUUUUGAUGACCCACUACCUAUUGAUGAUAGCUUUCCCGAUGAACAAUUAAAUGUCAUAAAUGCUUCUCAUACUGCUCCAUGGUAUGCUGAUUAUGCUAAUUAUAUUGUUGCUAAAUUUAUACCACCUAGUUUCACAUACCAGCAAAAGAAAAUGUUCUUCUAUGAUUUAAGAUAUUACUUCUAG
rnacentral:rRNA from 1 species